GGGGCAAGCGUUAUCCGGAUUUACUGGGUGUAAAGGGAGCGUAGACGGCGAUGCAAGUCUGAAGUGAAAGCCCGGGGCUCAACCCCGGGACUGCUUUGGAAACUGUAUGGCUAGAGUGCUGGAGAGGCAAGCGGAAUUCCUAGUGUAGCGGUGAAAUGCGUAGAUAUUAGGAAGAACACCAGUGGCGAAGGCGGCUUGCUGGACAGUAACUGACGUUGAGGCUCGAAAGCAUGGGUAGCGAAC
rnacentral:rRNA from 1 species